CCCCUCUCAGGGUCUCAGCUGGAGAGUUUCCAGUACUCUACCAGUCUCGACUAUGGCAGGGAGAGUCGAGCAGAGGCCUUUCCAUUCCAUUCCUAGCUUGGACAGUGGCUAGCUAGUGGAAGGCAAUUUGCUACAAGU